GUAUUGCUUCAGCAAUACAUAUACUAAAAUUGGAAUGAUACAGAGAAAAUUAGCAUGGCCCUUGCGCAAGGAUGACAUGCAAAUUCCUGAAGCGUUCCAUAUUUUU
rnacentral:snRNA from 1 species